GCAGAGGAGGAGGAGGAGGUGGUGGUGGUGGUGGUGUUUUUGGUGGUGGUGGUUGAUGGUGAAAAGAAAAGUGCAAGAAGAUAAAAAGUGUUUGGGAAAAGGAAAGGAAACGUUUGAGUGGAGAAGAAAAGAAGAUUCGAGAGGAACAGAAGGUGCACAUGGAAGGGGAAGAAUGGUUAUCUGCUCCCGGACCCCCGCCGCCAUCUUUCGGGGAGCACGAUCUGGCCGCCGCUGCCGGGAGGGGGAAGGACAGACGUCGCUGGUGGAUGGCAGUACUGGGGUGACGCUCUCCUGUCUUCGUCGCCAGAAGGCAAGAGCAGUACCCCUAGUGAAGGAGACACGUGCUCCCUGUACGUUGUCAAGACCAGCCGCCUGCCUCAUGAUGUGGCGAUCGGAACCCCGCCACUUGAGUCCCAUUGUCAAGAAUCUUACGUAUGGUUAGUCAUAAGUAGUCAUGGAAUGUGUGUGCGAGUAAAGGAGAGACAAUUUUC